CCCAGACUCCUACGGGAGGCAGCAGUGGGGAAUAUUGGGCAAUGGGCGCAAGCCUGACCCAGCAACGCCGCGUGAAGGAAGAAGGCUUUCGGGUUGUAAACUUCUUUUCUCAGGGACGAAUAGAUGACGGUACCUGAGGAAUAAGCCACGGCUAACUACGUGCCAGCAGCCGCGGUAAUACGUAGGGGGCAAGCGUUAUCCGGAUUUACUGGGUGUAAGGGAGCGCAGGCGGCGUGGCAAGUCAGAUGUGAAAACCCGGGGCCCAACCCCGGGAGUGCAUUUGAAACUGCCAUGCUGGAGUGCCGGAGAGGUAAGCGGAAUUCCUAGUGUAGCGGUGAAAUGCGUAGAUAUUAGGAGGAACACCAGUGGCGGAGGCGGCUUACUGGACGGUAACUGACGCUGAGGCUCGAAAGCGUGGGGAGCAAACAGGAUUAGAUACCCCCGUAAA
rnacentral:rRNA from 1 species